CAGUCGAACGAACUUCCGUUAAUUGAUUAUGACGUACUUGUACUGAUUGAGAUUUUAACACGAAGUGAGUGGCGAACGGGUGAGUAACACGUGGGUAACCUGCCCAGAAGUAGGGGAUAACACCUGGAAACAGAUGCUAAUACCGUAUAACAGAGAAAACCGCAUGGUUUUCUUUUAAAAGAUGGCUCUGCUAUCACUUCUGGAUGGACCCGCGGCGUAUUAGCUAGUUGGUGAGGUAAAGGCUCACCAAGGCAGUGAUACGUAGCCGACCUGAGAGGGUAAUCGGCCACAUUGGGACUGAGACACGGCCCAGACUCCUACGGGAGGCAGCAGUAGGGAAUCUUCCACAAUGGACGCAAGUCUGAUGGAGCAACGCCGCGUGAGUGAAGAAGGGUUUCGGCUCGUAAAGCUCUGUUGUUAAAGAAGAACGUGGGUAAGAGUAACUGUUUACCCAGUGACGGUAUUUAACCAGAAAGCCACGGCUAACUACGUGCCAGCAGCCGCGGUAAUACGUAGGUGGCAAGCGUUAUCCGGAUUUAUUGGGCGUAAAGCGAGCGCAGGCGGUCUUUUAAGUCUAAUGUGAAAGCCUUCGGCUCAACCGAAGAAGUGCAUUGGAAACUGGGAGACUUGAGUGCAGAAGAGGACAGUGGAACUCCAUGUGUAGCGGUGAAAUGCGUAGAUAUAUGGAAGAACACCAGUGGCGAAGGCGGCUGUCUGGUCUGCAACUGACGCUGAGGCUCGAAAGCAUGGGUAGCGAACAGGAUUAGAUACCCUGGUAGUCCAUGCCGUAAACGAUGAUUACUAAGUGUUGGAGGGUUUCCGCCCUUCAGUGCUGCAGCUAACGCAUUAAGUAAUCCGCCUGGGGAGUACGACCGCAAGGUUGAAACUCAAAAGAAUUGACGGGGGCCCGCACAAGCGGUGGAGCAUGUGGUUUAAUUCGAAGCUACGCGAAGAACCUUACCAGGUCUUGACAUCUUCUGACAGUCUAAGAGAUUAGAGGUUCCCUUCGGGGACAGAAUGACAGGUGGUGCAUGGUUGUCGUCAGCUCGUGUCGUGAGAUGUUGGGUUAAGUCCCGCAACGAGCGCAACCCUUAUUACUAGUUGCCAGCAUUAAGUUGGGCACUCUAGUGAGACUGCCGGUGACAAACCGGAGGAAGGUGGGGACGACGUCAAAUCAUCAUGCCCCUUAUGACCUGGGCUACACACGUGCUACAAUGGAUGGUACAACGAGUCGCGAGACCGCGAGGUUAAGCUAAUCUCUUAAAACCAUUCUCAGUUCGGACUGUAGGCUGCAACUCGCCUACACGAAGUCGGAAUCGCUAGUAAUCGCGGAUCAGCAUGCCGCGGUGAAUACGUUCCCGGGCCUUGUACACACCGCCCGUCACACCAUGAGAGUUUGUAACACCCAAAGCCGG
rnacentral:rRNA from 1 species